rnacentral:lncRNA from 1 species
GAUGCUGAGCAGGACGUUCUUUGGACAUUGCUCAAAUCUGUUUAUGUGUCGGUGUGUUUUGGGGAGAACGAAGUGGGACACCAGCUGCAGUUUGAGUCCAUUCUGCUCGACAAGAAUGAACAACGUAUUAAAGUAGGGAGUUGCCAGGGUUACCGGCUGUCCGUCGGACGGAAACCCUGACAUACGACACGAUGGAUUCAUCCUAAGAUAUAACUAUCAACUUUAAGCUUCAUUUCCGAUUAGUAAGGAUGUACAGACCACCGAAAGGCUUGUUGUUCGGUUUUGCAACUGGAGAAAUGACAGGACGUUGUGCUCGGGGACCCCCCGUGGUGUUUCGUACCACCCGGGAAACCUUAUAUUGAAUGCCAUCAGCUGAUUGGAGAAAGCGGUAUAAUAUAUGUGACUCGCCUCAGAUCAGGUUGUCUUCUGCCGGAGAACUUUGGAAAAUACUUGUCGGAGCCCACAGGCUCUCUGGCGGCACAGCACCCGCUCGAUAGCGACAGCAGGCGCCCGGUUGUCAGGUGCGAUGAUUCGUGACGCAAGUAGGUUAAUGUUUUGUGUGAAGUUUGUGUGUGCAAGAGGCCACCAAUAACGGGCACGUUCUUGCGGAGAGAACCAAGUUGUCAAGCGUGAAAAUGUUAGGAUGCAUUCACGUCGUCAUGACACAAACAUUCAGUAGAAGUUUAGGAGCUGAUUGUAUGUCUAGAUUUUUUAUGGUGUGGACGAUCCCCAAAGGAAUGGGGGGAAGCCGUCCCGGUCAAUGGCGCCAACUUUCCAGUUGGUGCCCCCUGAAUAGACGCUUUAUACUCCGGCUAUGAAUAGAUAUUAGCUUUCUACAGUUGAACCGUCACCUGUGGGUCUCGCUAUGAUACUGACUGGCUAUGAUAUUUAUGUUCGUUCCCAGUGCCGCCUGUGUACGAAAGACAAGUACGGCUUUUGAACCAACCUAUAUGGGUUGCAGAACUCGUUUGCCAAG